AGCUUUGCGCAGUGGCAGUAUCGUAGCCAAUGAGGUUUAUCCGAGGCGCAAUUAUUGCUAAUUGAUUAUUAAGGUAGAGUGGCUACAUUGUCACAAAUCAUAUAAUGAAUGGGGCAUAUUUAUCUAAAUAUAAUAAUUUA